rnacentral:rRNA from 1 species
GAUGAACGCUGGCGGCGUGCCUAAUACAUGCAAGUCGAGCGAACAGAUGAGGAGCUUGCUCCUCUGACGUUAGCGGCGGACGGGUGAGUAACACGUGGAUAACCUACCUAUAAGACUGGGAUAACUUCGGGAAACCGGAGCUAAUACCGGAUAAUAUAUUGAACCGCAUGGUUCAAUAGUGAAAGACGGUUUUGCUGUCACUUAUAGAUGGAUCCGCGCCGCAUUAGCUAGUUGGUAAGGUAACGGCUUACCAAGGCAACGAUGCGUAGCCGACCUGAGAGGGUGAUCGGCCACACUGGAACUGAGGCACGGUCCAGACUCCUACGGGAGGCAGCAGUAGGGAAUCUUCCGCAAUGGGCGAAAGCCUGGCGGAGCAACGCCGCGUGAGUGAUGAAGGUCUUCGGAUCGUAAAACUCUGUUAUUAGGGAAGAACAAAUGUGUAAGUAACUAUGCACGUCUUGACGGUACCUAAUCAGAAAGCCACGGCUAACUACGUG